CAGACGGGUGAGUAACGCGUGGGAACAUACCCUUUCCUGCGGAAUAGCUCCGGGAAACUGGAAUUAAUACCGCAUACGCCCUACGGGGGAAAGAUUUAUCGGGGAAGGAUUGGCCCGCGUUGGAUUAGCUAGUUGGUGGGGUAAAGGCCUACCAAGGCGACGAUCCAUAGCUGGUCUGAGAGGAUGAUCAGCCACAUUGGGACUGAGACACGGCCCAAACUCCUACGGGAGGCAGCAGUGGGGAAUAUUGGACAAUGGGCGCAAGCCUGAUCCAGCCAUGCCGCGUGAGUGAUGAAGGCCUUAGGGUUGUAAAGCUCUUUCACCGAUGAAGAUAAUGACGGUAGUCGGAGAAGAAGCCCCGGCUAACUUCGUGCCAGCAGCCGCGGUAAUACGAAGGGGGCUAGCGUUGUUCGGAAUUACUGGGCGUAAAGCGCACGUAGGCGGAUAUUUAAGUCAGGGGUGAAAUCCCGCAGCUCAACUGCGGAACUGCCUUUGAUACUGGGUAUCUUGAGUAUGGAAGAGGUAAGUGGAAUUCCGAGUG
rnacentral:rRNA from 1 species